rnacentral:rRNA from 1 species
GGUUAAGCGACUAAGCGUACACGGUGGAUGCCCUGGCAGUCAGAGGCGAUGAAGGACGUGCUAAUCUGCGAAAAGCGUCGGUAAGGUGAUAUGAACCGUUAUAACCGGCGAUGUCCGAAUGGGGAAACCCAGUGCAAUUCGUUGCACUAUCGUUAACUGAAUACAUAGGUUAACGAGGCGAACCGGGGGAACUGAAACAUCUAAGUACCCCGAGGAAAAGAAAUCAACCGAGAUUCCCCCAGUAGCGGCGAGCGAACGGGGAGCAGCCCAGAGUCUGAAUCAGCUUGUGUGUUAGUGGAACGGUCUGGAAAGUCCGACGGUACAGGGUGAUAGUCCCGUACACCAAAAUGCACAGGCUGUGAACUCGAAGAGUAGGGCGGGACACGUGGUAUCCUGUCUGAAUAUGGGGGGACCAUCCUCCAAGGCUAAAUACUCCUGACUGACCGAUAGUGAACCAGUACCGUGAGGGAAAGGCGAAAAGAACCCCGGCGAGGGGAGUGAAAAAGAACCUGAAACCGUGUACGUACAAGCAGUGGGAGCACCUUCGGGUGUGACUGCGUACCUUUUGUAUAAUGGGUCAGCGACUUAUAUUCUGUAGCAAGGUUAACCGUAUAGGGGAGCCGCAGGGAAACCGAGUCUUAACUGGGCGUUAAGUUGCAGGGUAUAGACCCGAAACCCGGUGAUCUAGCCAUGGGCAGGUUGAAGGUUGGGUAACACUAACUGGAGGACCGAACCGACUAAUGUUGAAAAAUUAGCGGAUGACUUGUGGCUGGGGGUGAAAGGCCAAUCAAACCGGGAGAUAGCUGGUUCUCCCCGAAAGCUAUUUAGGUAGCGCCUCGUGAAUUCAUCUUCGGGGGUAGAGCACUGUUUCGGCUAGGGGGUCAUCCCGACUUACCAACCCGAUGCAAACUACGAAUACCGAAGAAUGUUAUCACGGGAGACACACGGCGGGUGCUAACGUCCGUCGUGAAGAGGGAAACAACCCAGACCGCCGGCUAAGGUCCCAAAGUCAUGGUUAAGUGGGAAACGAUGUGGGAAGGCACAGACAGCCAGGAUGUUGGCUUAGAAGCAGCCAUCAUUUAAAGAAAGCGUAAUAGCUCACUGGUCGAGUCGGCCUGCGCGGAAGAUGUAACGGGGCUAAACCAUGCACCGAAGCUGCGGCAGCGACACUAUGUGUUGUUGGGUAGGGGAGCGUUCUGUAAGCCUGCGAAGGUGACCUGUGAGGGUUGCUGGAGGUAUCAGAAGUGCGAAUGCUGACAUAAGUAACGAUAAAGCGGGUGAAAAGCCCGCUCGCCGGAAGACCAAGGGUUCCUGUCCAACGUUAAUCGGGGCAGGGUGAGUCGACCCCUAAGGCGAGGCCGAAAGGCGUAGUCGAUGGGAAACAGGUUAAUAUUCCUGUACUUGGUGUUACUGCGAAGGGGGGACGGAGAAGGCUAUGUUAGCCGGGCGACGGUUGUCCCGGUUUAAGCAUGUAGGCUGGUUGUCCAGGCAAAUCCGGAUAAUCAAGGCUGAGGUGUGAUGACGAGGCACUACGGUGCUGAAGUAACAAAUGCCCUGCUUCCAGGAAAAGCCUCUAAGCAUCAGGUAACAUCAAAUCGUACCCCAAACCGACACAGGUGGUCAGGUAGAGAAUACCAAGGCGCUUGAGAGAACUCGGGUGAAGGAACUAGGCAAAAUGGUGCCGUAACUUCGGGAGAAGGCACGCUGGUGUGUAGGUGAAGUCCCUGCGGAUGGAGCUGAGACCAGUCGAAGAUACCAGCUGGCUGCAACUGUUUAUUAAAAACACAGCACUGUGCAAACACGAAAGUGGACGUAUACGGUGUGACGCCUGCCCGGUGCCGGAAGGUUAAUUGAUGGGGUUAUCCGUAAGGAGAAGCUCUUGAUCGAAGCCCCGGUAAACGGCGGCCGUAACUAUAACGGUCCUAAGGUAGCGAAAUUCCUUGUCGGGUAAGUUCCGACCUGCACGAAUGGCGUAAUGAUGGCCAGGCUGUCUCCACCCGAGACUCAGUGAAAUUGAACUCGCUGUGAAGAUGCAGUGUACCCGCGGCAAGACGGAAAGACCCCGUGAACCUUUACUAUAGCUUGACACUGAACAUUGAGCCUUGAUGUGUAGGAUAGGUGGGAGGCUUUGAAGCGUGGACGCCAGUCUGCGUGGAGCCAACCUUGAAAUACCACCCUUUAAUGUUUGAUGUUCUAACGUUGGCCCCUUACCGGGGUUGCGGACAGUGUCUGGUGGGUAGUUUGACUGGGGCGGUCUCCUCCCAAAGCGUAACGGAGGAGCACGAAGGUUAGCUAAUCCUGGUCGGACAUCAGGAGGUUAGUGCAAUGGCAUAAGCUAGCUUGACUGCGAGCGUGACGGCGCGAGCAGGUGCGAAAGCAGGUCAUAGUGAUCCGGUGGUUCUGAAUGGAAGGGCCAUCGCUCAACGGAUAAAAGGUACUCCGGGGAUAACAGGCUGAUACCGCCCAAGAGUUCAUAUCGACGGCGGUGUUUGGCACCUCGAUGUCGGCUCAUCACAUCCUGGGGCUGAAGUAGGUCCCAAGGGUAUGGCUGUUCGCCAUUUAAAGUGGUACGCGAGCUGGGUUUAGAACGUCGUGAGACAGUUCGGUCCCUAUCUGCCGUGGGCGCUGGAGAAUUGAGGGGGGCUGCUCCUAGUACGAGAGGACCGGAGUGGACGCAUCACUGGUGUUCGGGUUGUCAUGCCAAUGGCACUGCCCGGUAGCUAAAUGCGGAAGAGAUAAGUGCUGAAAGCAUCUAAGCACGAAACUUGCCCCGAGAUGAGUUCUCCCUGAGACUAUAAGUCUCCUGAAGGAACGUUAAAGACGAUGACGUUGAUAGGCCGGGUGUGUAAGCGCAGCGAUGCGUUGAGCUAACCGGUACUAAUGAACCGUGAGGCUUAACCUU